UCCUUAGAUGUUCUGGGCUGCACGCGUGCUACACUGAUAUUGCCAAUAUGUCAUUCUUAUCCGAAAUGGAUUGGGUAAUCAAGUAAUGAAAUUUCAUGCUUGGAAUCGGUAAUUGCAAUUUUAUCGUGAACGAGGAAUUCCUAGUAAGCACUAGUCAUCAGCUAAUGUUGAUUAUGUCCCUGCCCUUUGUACACACCGCCCGUCGCUACUACCGAUUGAACGGUUUAGUGAGGGCCUCGGAUUGGUCUCGGCCCGCUCUUUACCGGGCGGCGCCGUUGGUCGAGAAGACGCUCGAACUUGAUCGUUUAGAGGAAGUAAAAGUCGUAACA
rnacentral:rRNA from 1 species